CUAGCCUCGGUGAUGGGCAAAGAACUGUCCUGAGCAUAUAGACAGUGGUUUUGUAUGGUGCAGACACAGCGGUUUAGUGGCAGUGGUUUGCAAUCAGACACAGAUAAAAAGUCUGACUCUCAUGGAAUGGAGAGGAAUCUGAAAUUCAAGGGCCACUUGUAAAGAAAGAUUGUAGGGAGAGAGGCGGAGAGGAAAACAGGGCUGCCGAGUCUUCCUGGAAUGACUCUGCAGGGAUUAGAUUGGUAGAAAGUUGUCUUUGGAGGAAAAGAAGACCUGCAAUUGCUACACCUUGAGAACAUGCCCGUUGCAUUCCACAUACUACCCAGGUCUAGGUAGCCUUUUAUACACAAAUGCAGAGAAAGGCUCCUGUGUGUCACCCAGGCUCUUGCAUUGUUAACCACAGUCAAAUGACAUAGGAAGUCAUCUCUUCACCUAUUCACGAAAAGUUCUCUGAAUUUGAUCAGCUAGGAUGAUCAUCUGUAUUUUUUUCUAAAAUAGUUUACUUCUACAUUUCGAGAGUGCCCAAAUAGGUUAUAUGCUUAUUUUGGGAUUUGACAGAACCUGUGGACGCCAAGGUCAUCACUCUCCAGUGUGUGGUCUGUACUAAACCAGCAGUAGCCACUCAGCACCUUCCACAGAGGGGUAUUCUGGGAAGCAGUUGUUGGUUGUCAUUUUGUUGCAAAGUAAAAAUAUCUAAGUGGCUUAAGGGCUUUGGCCAGUGUUAGAAAAACAUCACCCCUAUUUGCCAGCGUGAGGUGUCAGUGUGAGAUGCCAAUGUACAAACCAGAGACCUGUUAAUUCAAAGAAACAAACAUUUCCCUUGUUUCCAGUGAUGACUUUUGGGGGGAGAAUCUUACUGCUGUAUAUACCUUUAAAUAAGAAGUCACAAUUGAUUUAUGAUGAUUUUUUUUUUUAAAAAACAACAAAACCUGUCUCCUCUUUUCUCCCUACAAAGGGACAAGGUUUUCCCUCUUGGGUGAAUACUGCAUGCAUCGCUUGCCAUAGAAAGGGUGCCGUCUUGGCAAGCCUCUUAUUAGUCUAAAAAUAAAUUAUUCACAAUGCAGGUUCAGAUACAGAUUGCAAGGAGAGAUAAUAGAAUUGGUUUUCCAAGCCUGAUCAUGCUCGGAAGACAUGGUAUGUGCUUUUCAGGAAUCCACUUCAACGGAAUCAGCUUUGACGAGUACACACAAGAAAUAAUAUUGCUGCCAUCCAGCUUGUGUCUGCGGUACAGCAUCCUCCGCUUGUCUUCAAGGACCCACAGUGCCUCUUCAUCAGUGUGCAAAAGUCCAUAUUGCUCAAGCAUUUCUUCUGAGAUGCUGCCCUCCCAUUGUUCUUUUAAGGAAAUUUCUUCCUGGCAGCGUGAGAGGGGCACUGCCUCCUACCCCCCUUCUGCCUCGGCAGAACAGUUGACCACAGCAGCAGCCGACUCCGGCUCGUCAUGUGCUUCCUCAUGUGAUGUAGGUCUGCGGCACUGUGGAGCAAUCGCAUUUGAGACUCGGCACUCGUGGACAGACGGGCGUUCAGGGACUGGGGAGUUUUUGGAGGGGGGUGGGGAGGCCAAUAAACCAAGAAAACGUCAGAAAUAAAAGUCGCAUCAACCAGACUGUCUUCUUCACCGCUCCCGGGCUGCACCACUGUGGGCACAUCAAGCUUCGUCUGGCUCACCUGCAUGGUUCCGGCUGAUUCCUGCCUGAGAUGGCCCAUCGUACAACUAGGAUCCCAGAAUCUCCUGUCUGCACUCUGCGGAAGAAGGACCUAUUUCAGUCUCUGGCCAGGGUCUCUCACAGCCGAUGGGGUCUUGGAAGACAGGGUGAAGUUGCAGAAGACUGGGGUGGGAUGCGAAGGCAUGCGAAGGACUUGGAAAGGGAAUUUAGGAAUACUAUACAUCAGUGCCCACCGAUGAUAUGCAUACAGGGCGAGGGCAGCCACCGCCCCUGCCUCACGCACCUAACCCCGGCUGCUCGCUGGGAUUGUCUGAGGGGGACAACCCAGGUCUGGAUGUGGUGGCAUUUUUUCAGAGAGUGGAACUGAAGAUGGAUGAAGCAGGUACUUGCUGUGUCUGCUUGGCAGGGCAGAGCUGGAGAAAUGGAAGGGGAAAAGAAGAGAUGCUGACUGUCGUAAGAUUGUCUGCUGCCAGCUCCGCAGUCUUAAUCUAAGGAAGGAUGGCAUAGUGGAUCUGCCAGCACGUGCAUGGAGGAACUGUAAAUUGCAGUGUGGAUGUCCCUGGUACUGUCAAGGAAGAAACUGAUGGGCUGGGUGACUGUACAGUGUCCCCAGAGAAAAAUAGCAGCCUUGCAGCAUGGAUUUAAGUGCAUGUGCAUGCGUGUAGAGACAUGGAAGAGACUGUGUAACACAUACACACACAGAGAGAGAUAUGAGAGAGAGAGAGAGAGAGAGAGAGAGAGAGAGAAAGAGAGAGACUCUUUGCUGGGUUGGGUUUGAUUACAAGCCAGUGUUUUCAGCUCCUGCUCAAGACCUAUUUCCUGGCUAGCCAGAAAGCUCGGCCAGAGCAGCUGCAUAUAGACUUUUCUUUUUAACGGCAUAGCAAACCCCUUCAGUUUUAACUCCUUGAAGUUCUAAGUGCUCAGCGUUGGGCUAAGGCUCACUGUACGGUUUUGUUUUCUUCUCCUACAGAGCCCUGUAAACACAGCUGUAUUCAGUAUGGCAGAAAAAUUCUGUCCCUUAAAUAGAAAUGCGAUCAAUUUAAUCAAAAUAAAUGUAUCCCAGAUGACUCUGAGGCCAGCUGGAUACCACAGGCUUCAGAAGCUAAGCAUUCAGUGGAGAUGGAUACAGUGUUAGAUUUACAUGCUUUCAAAUGCUAGGAUCAGCUAUGCUUAAUAAAGGAAAUUCUUUAAGGAAAAGGGAGGGUCCUCCUGGCACCCAGCUAUAGAUGGUGACCACAGGUGCUGCUGCUGAUCCUGGCACUGGGGUUUGUGGCUGUCGAGCUUGCAGGGGUGUGUGGCAUGAGGCAGGGCACGGCUGAUGUCAGUGUGAAGAAAGCUUGCAGCCUGCUUGAGGCUGUAGGAAGGAGGAGGGUGGCCUCUCAUUGCCUCUGUCGGGGCUUGGCUGGUACUAGAAGCUUGUAGAUAGAUAAGGGUGAGCUGGGUGAACUGAGCUCUGAGCCGGGAGCAAGCAGCUUUCCCAGUUGUCAUGGGGGCUCCUCUGGGACGCCUGUCUGGCCUGUCCUCCCACUGUUUGUUAGAAAUUCUACAAAGCGGCUCUGUGUGCUGGAUUAUGUUUGGCCAGCUGUUGGUGCAUUCCUGAGGGUGGGGUGGAGACAGGAUCUUAUUACUGUACUUCCAAACUGUAGAUCUAUGUGGGGAGAGAGAGAGAGAGAGAGAGAGAGAGAGAGAGAGAGAGAGAGUGUGUCAGGAUGUGGUGGGGAGAGGAAAGAAACGCAAGCAAGUCUGAUAAUCCCUUCUCCUUCUCCAGGUUGUGCUAGAGGAGCAUUCAGAAAGGCUAUGAAGUGAAAGAGAGAAAGGAGAGGGUAAGGGGUGGGAGCACAGUGGAACAGCCAUGAGACAAAGCAGAACUUCAAAGCUGCAGAGACGAGCAGAAUGUCAGCAGCUUGUAAUUAGCGGUUCAUGGUUGCGUCAGAGACUGUAUCUCUCCAAGAAUAACUGUGUGCUGUGUGCCACAGAGUGCAGAAGACAGUCAUAACUAAGUUAUCAAGCACAGUUCAAAUGAGGGCAGACACAUGAAGGCAUUUUCUGUUUGAAAAUUAAGCAGGGCUGAAGUGCACAUCUCACUGGCUGGAUUCUGCCUAACUUCUGGCAGGAAAUGCUCAGCGUAUAGGAGGGUGUUUGUUAGAUCAAACAGGGGACCCAUAAGCAUGCAGACUGAGCAUGCAAGCUCCGUCCCUGUAAAAUACCGUCCCAAACAGCCCGGUACUGCACUGCUGGGGUCCUGUCUCCGUAUAUACCCAUUCGCUUUUGUAUGCCAAUGGGAGAAAGUUAAAAGUACACCCAAGGACAUAUGUCCCCAUUAGAUUCUAAAAUCCCUACUAUAGAAUUAAAACCUGACUGCAGGUUCUGAGUUGUUUUGGUAUUCUUAAUUUAUACGCUGAAGAAGCUCUUUUUUUGCAAUUAUCUUGUUGGUAACCCUGUGAGGAAGCGACAUACCACUAUAUGAUGUUGAAGGGCACCUUUCCCUUCCAUCCCCUGUCUCUGUUAUUUGGAGGUGUGGGGCGUUCUCUGGAGCCUCCAGGAGGAGCUGGUGGGAGGAGCUGAUUGGCUAGCAGGCUCAGCGUGUUUACUCUUAUUUGUUUUCAGUGCUCCUUCGCAGCGUGCAUUUAGUAUUUGUAUUUGUGUUCAUGCUGCACAAUUACUACUGACCAGCUUUGUUUCUCUGCCCGAAGCGAAGUCAAUUUUAGUUCAGCCCCUGCAGUUGAGUCCCUGGACAAUAUGCACAUAUGUAUUAUGUUACCCGUGUAUGCACUUUUCCUUUUAAAAACGUGGAUUAAGGAAAAUUGUAGGCAAGGAGAGACGUGUAUAUGAAAUCAAUAGCUUUUUGAAUCACAUGUAAUAUAAUUUAAAUAUACUCACUUUAAGAUUGCCAAAGCCUAUGUUGUCUGAGCCCAGUUAAUUUACAUCUUCGAUUUAGUCAAGAGGUGGAACCUGCCAGAUCAGAAUGCUGUAUUCUGUGCACCCAACAGGGUGGAAGACAUUAUUUUGUUUGUGUUAGUUCAAACAGCUGGUCAUUAAUGCAGUCCCCAUUUCUAGAGAGAAACGCUGGUGGACAUGAAUGGCUGUCUGAUUAAUGCUGCCCCUCGGAGGGUCCUUCACCCAGCCAUGCUCCUGCAGAAUAAUGUAGCAUGAUGUGAUUGCACUCUAACAGGAUAGUAUGUCAUUGUGUCACCAAGCAAUUGAGGUUAUUAUGGGGCAGGGCAGACAGACGGGACAGUGGGGUUACUAGACCGUAGCAUUUUUAGAAAUACAGGCCUGACCUACUUAGAGUUAUUCUGGCAGGCAGCUGCACGGUACAUAAAGUCUCCUGAUAGGCUGAAGCUGUUGCUAGGGGGAAUUAGCAUGAAUUUUUCCACACAGAGACUCAGCGACUGAAUGAUAAAAGCUGACUGGAAUUAAAGAGAUUUGGUUUAGCAUUGUACAGAUUGAUCUGCCUCAGUUUUUUUUUUUUUCUUUCUCAAGUGCCAAGAAAGAGUGCAAAAAAUAGAGACUUCUUUUUGUUUGUUUGUUUCUAUUAGUUCUUUGACCUUCUCCUUCUCUUCCUUCUGCCCUUCAUCCCCAAGAGCCAGGAGGGCAGGAGAACAGAGCAGUUAUGAAAUUUUGGUUAAUCUCUUAUUGCUGGGGUCAUUGAAACCAUGUUGCAAAUGGCAUGAUAUUUAAGCUUCAGGACUGCUGGGCGUACCUAGCAGAAGGGCAGAUGGGUUUUUUUGGUCCCCUGUGUAUCAAGCUGUUUUGGAGUUGGGCAUGCAUCUUUUAUACACUGUAUAUUUUAUACACCCCUUUCCCUUUUGGGCUUGAACAAAACAUUUACAUAAAUUCUUUUCUAUCCAAACAGAUUGAAGCUUGCAAUUGCUGGCUUGUUUAAAAUAAGAUAGUAAGAUAGACAAGAUUCCAGAUUUAGAAUAUAUAUAUAUAUAUAUGUAUACACACACACACACACACACACCAUUUUUUUAUUACAAAAGUAUUUUUUUCUGGGCUAUGUUUGUCUUUUGAAAAGUCCAGUUUGGUGUUUGUGUUCAGGGAUAGAAUUGAACUGCUCCCACCCCACCCAUUUUGUUUCCCAGUGUACAAAAAGCACUCUUUUGUUUGUUUGUUUUGUUUUGUUUUGCUUUGCAUUUUUUUUUCUCUGCAGAAGAAAGUGUGGCUGUAGAAUCCAGUCUGGAGACUGCUUUUCCAUGUUGCUGACAUGGGCACUGAGUAGAGAGAGCUCACAUAAUCAAUUUUGCAACAUGACCCACUUUCCCUCCCCAGCAUUCCCAAGUGUCUGCAGUUUUAAUAGCUCUUUACAAGAAGAGGAUUUUUUAAUAGAUCAUUUAAAAAUAAUCUGAAAGUCCAUCAAGAGAAAAAUUAAAGCAAUGCGUAUUCAAGAAUACUUUGGUUUUUUUCCCCCCUCAUCUUAAUUAUAUGCUAUCUGUGGUGUUUGUGCUGAAAGUAGUUAUUAUUCUGUUAUAUUUAUUUGAAAUUAAUUUUUGUAAGAAAGUCCUAGGAGUUCACAAGUAAACAAGGAGCUGAGGAGCAUAAGUCCUGGAAAGGAGAAGGAAGAGGGUGCUCAGCUGUGUCGCUGGAUUUCCUGGCCAUGUGUAAAGAGGCAAGAGAAUAUUUAUUUGUGGAUUUUCUUAUUUCCAUUUAGGUUUAAAAAGUAUUCAGAACUAUGUAGAUACAGGCACUGUAGUGAAAACAAAGCAAGAAUAAUUUAGUGGUAUCUAACCCAGAAAGCUAUUGAUCAUCCCCUUUAAAAAAUCCAUUGAGUGCUGUUUAUGUUUUAGACACCUUAGGAAAGAGAAUGUGGUAGGGUUGAAUUGUGCUCUCGCUAGCUAGGAGUGUCCCCACAAUAGCAUUAAUCAUGAGGAGCUCCAAGCAAGAAACCAUCUUUCAUAAUUGAAUAACUGGUCAAUUUGCUUUUAUGAAUAUAAAAUAUCCUUGGGUGUUCCUCUUUACAAAGUGAUGCAUUUUUUUUCAAAAUUGUCUUAUCAAAGGAAUAUUUUUGGCCUUUCUUCCGUUGUAAUUCACUUUGAUUAAGUUGGUAUAAAGGUACUUAAAUAUUUAAGUGCUAGAAUAUAGAAAUAAAAAGUCAACUUUAAAACCCCUAAAUAAGGACAUAUUUUAAAUUAGUGUUCUUUAAUACAUAGAUGCCUAAUUUAGGGAAUCUAUAGCCUGUGUCCAGGUAUGCAUGAUACUCACAGUAUAAAUGUCCGUUGUUUAAUGAAAAAUGAGUUGGCCAUAUUGAAUUGUUCAGUAUAAUCUUACUUGGAUGUUUAAGUUGUUAAUUUUUUCCCCUUUCCCCUUUCCCCUUUUCCCCUUUUCCCCUUUUUAAUGGUUUUCAACCAUUACUAAAGAGGUAAGCAUUUGGUGUGCCAACACAAACAAAGAGAACAUAGUUUUGAAUGUAAUUUAUGCUUACUUAACUUCGGCUAAAGUUAACUUCCAACAUUCACUUAGUGUGUGUCAAUAGUAUUCGCUUCAUCCACUGCCAUUGAUUAGACAGCCAAAGGGACAAGUACCCGCACUUGUUACAUUGAUUAUUUAUUAGGUGAGCAUUUCUUUCUGCUCACACAUUAGCUAUCUUUUCCAGUUAUAAGGCCCAAAAUAGAGCAGUGAAGUUUGGGGGAUUAGAUCUUAGGGGUCACUGAGUUCAGUUAGUAUCCAAGUAAAAUAUCUCCCUCAAAUAUCCAGUUCAAACUCUGAUGUCACCUAAUCCCCAGAGUUUGGGGAAAGGCCUGGGGGCUUUGCGUCCUAGUGCUUAGAGGUGAUCAGCCCUUCUGAUAUCUCCGAGUAGCUAUAGCUCUUCCAAACCAUCUCAAUAUUGUUGAAGAACCCACAGUAAGUCAGACUGUGCCUUUGUGAAGUCAUGCUAGCAUAUGGUAGCCCAAGGAUUUUCAGCAUCAGUAUUUGAAUAGUUAGCGUUUCAACGAUUUAUAAAUGCCCAAGCUGUGCUAGCUGAGAUCUUGUCUGCCCCUUAGCCUGAAACCAACCUGUCUUCCUUUUCACUGCUUUCUCUUCUUAGUUCAGCAUUACAUGCCAGUUAGAUUCUCCCAAAUCUCUCCUCCUUCUUUUGUCCAUGUGCUAGGUGCAGAGAAGUUGGUUGAUUGAUGAAUGGAUGAGCAGACUAAUGAUCAUCCAGCUAGUUAAAAAAUGAAUACAUUGGUAGCUAUUCAGAAGGAAAAAAAUCAUAAAUGUACAAUGAAAUUGGCUAUAUGUGGACAUAUUUAGUGAUGAAAAUCCAAGUAGUUAGGUUUUAUGGGCUUCCUGAUCGCUAUGCAAUUACUCACCUUGCCUAAUAUAGCUAAAAGGCAGUAAUAGACAGUAUAUAAAUGAAGGAGCCUGACUGCCUUUAAAUAAAACUUUAUUUAUAGACACAAGCAAUGGGCCGGAUUUGGCCUAGGCACUAUAGACACAGGUAUAUUGUCAUCUAUGGUAAGUUAAAGAUACGACUUAAGCAUUAUAUACAUAUUCCUUAGUAUAUUUUUGCCUUUUUUUCUUUUCUUUCUUUUUUCUUUUUUUUUUUUUUUUUUUUUUUUUUUUGUCUUUUUUCUUCUUUUUACUGUAGCUGUCUUCAGAUACACCAGAAGAGGGCAUUGGCUCCCAUUACAGAUGGUUGUGAGCCACCAUGUGGUUAUUGAGAAUUGAACUCAGGACAUCUGGAAGUACAGUCAGUGAUCUUAACCUCUGAGCUAUCUCUCCAGCCUCUCCUUAGUAUAUUUUUAAAAGGAGGAAGAUUUGAAACGUUAACAAAAAAAAAAAAAAAAAAAAAAAAAGGAAGAAAGAAAGAAAGAAACAAACAAACAAAGAAAAGAAAGAUCAGUAUGGUUUACGGUCUGGACUCACUGCCAAUCAACCAGGUGCUGAUUCUCAGUGGUAACAGGACUAAGAGGCAACAAUUUAUUUUAAAACUCAAGGAUUAAAGUAAAUAAACCUGAUUACUCUUUCUUUAGAUGGUGAGACUUUUUUUUUUUAAUCUUGCAAAAUGACUGUUCUGGUGUUGGUUGCCUGGGUGUAAGAGAGACCUCAUACUCUGUGUCUUAAGAGCUGGAAGGAAGUCCAAAACAUGACACAGAAUGACUCUGCAAUGGUCUGGAGAGAUGGCUCAGUGAUUUAGAGACUGUACUGUUCUUGAAUAGGGCUUGAAUUCAGUUCCUAGCACCCAUGUAGGACAGCAUAUAACUGUCUAUAGUUGCAACUCAGCAGUUCUAACAACCUUGUUCAGGACACCCUGGGCAGCAGCUUCACACAUGCACAUAUCCACACAGGGGCACACACAUACACGUAAUUGAAAAUAAAAUGACUACACCACAGCCACAACAUCUUGCUGUUGUCCGGGUAUUACUGUUUAAUCACUACAAAUACUGUCCUGGGCUAACUGGCCCUCAUCCCUAGAGGUAUGUGUUCUAAAGACUCCAGGGGUGCCUGAAACCUCAGGAUGUGCAGAGGUUGAUCUACGCUGCACUUUCCACUAAAGUUUUAUCAUAUAGAUGGUCUAAAGCUUCCUCUGUAAAUCUGGCAUAGCAAUAAAUCAGCAGCAAAAAUUCCCCAUAAGAUACAAUAGUUUAAAUAGUGAACUGAAAUAGAAAUGACUUAAAAUAUGAUGUCUUUGUGUGUGUCUGGUAUCUGUGGGUAACAUAUGCACAUCUGUAUGCGAAGGCCAGAGGUUGACGUGAGCUGUCUUUUUUUCCCUUUUCUCCACUUUAUUUUGCAGAGACAAGAUCUCUCACUGAACCUGGAUCUCACCAGCUAGGCAAGCCUAGUGGGCCAGGAAGCUCCAGGGAUCCUUCUGUCUCUGCCUCCCUACUGCUAGGGACACAGUACUGUAAUCUAGGUGCUCCCAUGCCCAGCUUUUCCUGUGGAUUAUGGGUCCACCCUGAGGUCCUUAUGUUUGUGCAGCAAGCAUGGGUUUGGUUUUAACUAGCCUAAAAACUCAUGACUUUUUGUUUCUGGAAUUUUCUGUUUAGCAUGUUAAGACUUCAACUUAUCAUAAAACUUUGGAUAAGAGAUGGCAGUAUUUUUAACCACCAGAUGAUCAGAUCUGUCCUUCCUCUCACAUCUUUGUCCUUCUUCUAUCGGGUAGCAAUUACCUUGCAGGAUGCAGUAUUACGGUUCUACAUUUUCAACAUUCUUGCUCUAUUUAAGCCCCUCUCUGGCGUUUAAUUCCACUUGUAAGGUUUACAUUGGUCUGGUAUGUUUGUAGGUGGCAUUAGACGCUGUGAGCAGGAUGGAGAUCAAGACCUAGGUCUGGGCAUUAGGAGACCCUGUGUUUCAAUGUAUAUUUUAUACCCAUUAGUUGUGGCAAGUGGGAUACUUUAAGGCAUUUCCCUAAGCUUGAACAUCAAUGUCACUACAAAGGUUUCAUGAGCAUGAGAAUAUGAAUCCAGCUGUCUGGCCUCUUGGAAGUAGUCAGUACAACCUGGUGGCUGCUGCUUUUGGUACAACCCUUGCUCUUAUAACUGGGAAUGAUUCUGCUUCCAAGCAAGUGUGUCGUCAUCUAAUAUUAAGCUUUGAGAUCUUGAUGGGAUCUUUAGGGCCCUGCUCUUUAAUGGGAGGGCCAUCUAGAGUAUUUAUUGCAUAAAGUCAGAUUAUCAGAAAUAACCACAUGAAGAAAGCACACACAGGAACAGGGUAAACAUAGAGGUAUCCAGUAUCCUGGACCGAAUUGUGUGCUUAUCCUUGCUGCUACUUUCUGAAUUUUUAAAAAGUUGACAUGGAUUUUAGCUAAUUCUCUUCAAAGAAUACACUAAACACAUAGCUUUUUUCCCCCUUCUUUUUUUUUUUUUUUUUUUUCUGUCUGCUUGUAAGGCCAAAGACAAAUGGAAACAAAAAAAGGGGCCACCCAUUCUAUUACCUUAAGGCUAUACUUUCAUUAUUUUCAAAUAAUGCUUCAGGCUUACCUCCUCCAGAAAACUUAGCCCGUUCCAGUGGCUUUGGAGGAACAGGGAUCUGCUAGCAUCCUUCAGCCUUCAGCCUUGAACUGAUUUUGUGCCUGGUGAUUAAAAAAAAAAAAAAAAAAAAAAAAAAAAAAAAAGGGCAGCUGCUGCCUGUCAAUCACCUGACUUCUCAGGCCUGCUUUCUUUGAAUCCUUUAUAGCACCCAAAUAUAGCUUAAGUUGGCCUGACAACAGAACUCCUGUAAAAGUGUGUUCACCUCUAUGAGACUGCACAUACCUCAGGCUAGAAAACUGUCUUUCUCUAAUACCCAGUGGAGCCAUCUGUGUGUUCUUUGUGCUCAAAUAGUUGUGAAAUUAAUGGCUGCCAUAGAUUUGCCCGUUCUGUGUGUAUAUCCUAAUCAUUCAUGUUACACAUGUCACUUGGACUUUUGCUAAACUAUUAAUAGUGAAUAUAAAUUAGUGAUGAGGUUGAAUCUCUCCCAGCAGUCUGAGAAAAUGACUUAAAGAGACAGGAGCCGAUCCUUAGUCACAGACUCAGUUAAGUGAGACAAUAUUCCAUUUUCAUACCUUUUCUAGAGAUCAGAAGCUACUCAUUCUACACUUUUAGUUAGACAAGACUAAGUCUUGCUGCAUGGAAGUGUAAAGGAGAAGGAAAAGUAACAAAAACAGAGAUUGUUCUAAAAGCAAUAAUAAUCAUUAUUGUUUUGUGGGGGGCGUUUCAUAAAUUCAUAAAUGUGUGUGUUUUUCUGAGUGAGAAAUUCUCUGUUGAAAAGCUUAUUAAAUGAAAAAAAACAUUCUGGAAACAGUUGAAUCUGAUACUUUCUAUUUUAGCUCGUCUUUAUAUUAUUUUUCUUAAUAAAAAGAAAUCCUUUGGUUGUCUAAGAGAAAUGUUAGAAAAAUGUUGCUUUGAUGGUUUUUGAGGCCCUUUCUUCCUGGGAGCUAAGAGCAUUCAUAGCAGAGGUGUGGCAGCGGGAGGGGUGGGGUGCCACUGAAUGUCUCUGGUCUCCCUGGGGCUUUUCCCUUGCUAUUGCCAGUGGCUACAAAUGGCCACCCACCCCAGGGAAGUGAAUGGAACAGCAUGGGAGCCUGAGCCUCUUUGUACUCACUGCCAAUUGCUAGGUGUGAUUGAAUAUUUUGAAAGAAGCCAAUAAGUAAAAAUGGGCAUUUAGCUAGUGCCUUUUAGAAAUGAUCCUUUUCCCUCUCUUUUCUCCUCCUUUUCAAAUAUAUUUGAUACCAUGGCUUUGGACUCUGCCUACCUCUCUUAUUAUCUAAGCUAUUCAUCCAUCCUAUAAUAGACACAUGGUAAGUACCAGGUGGAUGACAUUGGGCUUAGCAUGUUUUUCCUCCUCUAACUGCUAUAGAUUCCAGUGUUUUGUCCUUGUUCUGUUACCAGGAGGCCCUGCUUCAUCUGACUUUCCAGGCCAUAGUCAUUAAAGUUCACAGCACAGAGGCCCCUCGGUUUCGGGGUCCAGUUACAAGCCUGAAGAAUGCCAGUAUUGUUUUGCGAGAAUGACUGCUGGCACCUUGAACAUUACCGUGUUCUCAGAGUAAAAGAUACGUGUAGAUUUGCAACGUUUUAAUUUUAAGGGCUCUUUUUACACCUGCUUAUUGGAGGAACAUUCCACAGAGCUCUGCAUGUCCUGUUGUUUCAGCAGAAAACACAGUAGUAGCUGGAGUGGUGUGUGGUGAUCAUUAAUCUUUACUAGAGUCAGUGGGCUCUUAAUUAAGGAGGUAUGAAGCUGUGUGUGUGUGUGUGUGUGUGUGUGUGUGUGUUUCGUUUUUUUUUUUCUUUCUUUCUUUGUUUAUUCCUCAAACAGGCACACAUCUAGAGGAGCCUCAUAGAAAACUAUUGAUGAUUUACAGCCCAUUCAAAUGAGGAAGAGCAAACAGUUUUGUACCAGUGUGACUUCUCUUGACCUGUUCUCCACCGCAGAAGGAUUUGGGGCUGGAGGUUGGUGGUCCUGGUGAGUACUCAGUGAGGCAAACAGGGCCCACUGUGUUUCCAGAUAUCCCUUUGGAAUUACUCUCAAGCACCUGCAGAGAAAGAAUGGUAGGGGUGGUAGAGCCCUGUCCUUUCAUAGCUUGCUUAUUUUAAAAUCAGUAUUUGACAAUACGAGCUUGAGUUGCUGUAUUAUAUACCUAAUCCAUAAAAGUAGAACCAACUCUAAUCACUUAAAUCCUGGCCAUAACACUAUAAGACCCUUAAAAAAUUAGUAUUUUCCUAGGUAUCAUAGCUGAGUAGGUGUUGCAGUAAUCAAUUAAAUACUCAAAUUGAUCUCCGUGGUGGCGUUCCUCGACACCCGCCCCAGUAUUCUGGGUUCCCGAAUGAAAGACACACACACACACACACACACACACACACACACACCUUUUAUAUUUUGAGAUGCCUAAAUCAGCUCAAUGGCUGAGUCACUUCCUAACCGCCACGUGACUAAUCCAUCUCCCUCCGAUAUUCUCAAGCUAUUACUUGAGAAUUUCAUCUUUGCUGCCCUGGAUUCAGUCAGGCAGCCCUCUUGGGGCCGCUCUCCCCCAGCUCCUACAUGGUGGCUAUGCUCUCUGUCCCACACUUUCUUAGGUGUGGCGUCUCUUCUCUCCUCCCUGCAUGGGGAAUCUCCUUCUUCUCUCUUUUCCUUUUGUCCCUAGCCCUGGAAUCCUAUAAGUCCGGUCCUGUGUGCCCUGCCCAGCCAUUGGCUGUUGGCAUCUUUAUUUACCAAUCAGAACCAACUGGGUGCUAGAUCCCUCGGUGUUUUAUGUGAGAACGGGUGGAUUCUUGUGCAAACUGUUUGGGGAUCCACAUUAACACGUUACAAGCAGCAUUAGACCAAACUCACUACAUUGUAGGAUUGUUGGUUGCCUUUCUUCUGACACCGUAAAUGCCAGCCCUCACAGAGGGACAUUUACAUCAAUUUCAGCUCAGACAUUGUUGGGCCCCGUUUCUGAAGUCCAUGGUGUCUUACCUUCCAAUGGCAAUGACAACGGUUUGUCCAUUUUGGAAGUCUCUUUGACAGCUCUGGUCAAGUUAUUGGGGUUUUGUUAGUUGGUCUUUGGUUCUUGGAGAGAGGGCUAUCAGGCAAGAUAAGAAAAGUUCAUUAAAACUAUAUAUGUGUAUUUAUGGACAUGCCAAAUUGACCAGAGAAACGACCAUGAGGCCUUAAUCCUACAUAAAGAACUAUAGCCAAUUCAGAAAGCUGAGAAUAGAAGUAGACUCCUUAGGGAGCGCCCAUCAACUGCUUGUCCAUGCCAUGAAAACAUACAUACAAGUAAAACUAUGCAGGCUGAACAAGUUAUGUUUAGAAAUACAGAUGAAUAUACUUAUAAGCAUAAAAUAAUAAUUAGUACAUAAAGGGGUCUCAAAUUUUAAGGCGAAUGGGAACGGGUAUUUGAAGUGUUUGGAGGAAGGAGAAGGAAAGGAUGAAUUAAAUUAUAAUCUCUAAACACACACACACACACACACACACAUACACACACACACACACACACACACACACACACCCCUUAAAAAAUGAUUAGUAUUUUCCCAGUGUGGCUCAGUUGUGCAAAGAAAGGUCCAGAAUAGAUGCAAUCUCUAUGUUUGUCUCUUGUCCUCUUUUUAUCCUUCCUUCCUUCCUUCCUUCCUUCCUUCCUUCCUUCCUUCCUUCCUUCCUUCCUUCCUUCCCUCCCUCCCUCCCUCCCUCCCUCCCUCCCUCCCUCCCUCCCUCCCUCCCUCCCUCCCUCCCUCCCUCCCUCCUUCCUUCCUUCCUUCCUUCCUUCCUUCCUUCCUUCCUUCCUUCCAUCUAUUUGUAUUUUAAAUUUGGUACUGAAUACUAGUGAGGAUCUGGCUUAAAAUGUCCACAUUGCAUCUGCUUUCAGGCCAUUCCAUACUUAUGUAGAGAACAUGGACAAACAGUUCAAAUAUUUGCUGUGCUCCUCUCUGCAGAAGCCCACCUCCCCCAUUCCCAGCUUUCCCCAGUUGGCUAUAGGUCUUUAGGAUUUCUUGGACUUACCUCACCAACAACUUGAUAGAGGGUUUCUCAUACAAGAUACUGGGUCUUGUUAGAUAGUCUAUGGCUCUUGAGGAAUAUAUAUAUAUAUUAUCAUGUGAUAUUAGAUAAAUAUAAAAUACUACAAUUACCGUUUCAAGCAUAUUUAAUGCUAAUUAUCCCUCCCCCCUCCUCUCCUUCUGUAGUGUCCCUUCUUGUUCCCCCAUUAAAGAUCCACCUUCUUUCCAUUUCCCUAUUUGCCCGUAUCUUGCAUUAUUUCUCUCUAGAUCUCCUUUCAAAGCCUCCAUGGUCCCUUUUUACUUUUCUAGUUUCUGCAGUUAUUCACAUCUAAGGAUUUGGGACUAGGAAUGGUAGAUGAGAGAGAACAUUCAACAUUUAUUUUUCUGGGUCUGGGUUACCUCACUUUAAUACUACUUUUCAAGUCCAUCGAUUUACCUGCAAAUUUUGUGAUUUUAUUUUUUUUUUAUUUUUAACAGCUGAGUAGUAUUCCACUUUUAUAAGUACCAUCUUUUGGUUAUUCAUUCAUUAGCUAAAGGACAUUUAGGGUAUUUCUUCUUCCUUGCUAUUGUGAACAGAGUGGCAAUGAACAUGGGAUCCUGUAUUUUUUUGAGAUCCUAUAUUUUUGGAGCUGUGACCAAAGUCUCCCUUUACUUAGUCAUGGCCUAUGGAUGGUCAUGAAGUUAGAAAGGGUUUCCAAGUGUGUUAAUGAUAUCACAGUUGAAGUUAUGUCAUGAAGAUAGUUUAUGAAAAAGUUACCCUGAAGAUAGUUCCCAUAUUAAAGGAGAGAGGAAGAAGAGUCCCAAGUCUUGGACUGUAACAGACUUCCCUACAUUUUGAUUUCUAGAAUAUCAUAUUGGAUAUGCUUAUCUUGAGACUGUAUUUAUAUUAGGGGAUUUGGACAAAAACAAAAAUGUGAACACAUAACAAACUUUAAAAUAAUGAACAACAGUAUUACAUUACACAUCUAAUGUUGUAGCCAUUUGCCUUGUUCAGGCUACUGGCUGCUGAGAACUGUAAAUGUAUUAGCUACUGGCUACUAUAUAUUGGAAUACUGUUGAGUGGAAACAUGGCUGUACAGAUGGGAUACUCUGUAAGGAUAAAAUGUUCUUUAGUGUCUAACAACUUAUCAUGAAAGAAGUGUGAAGUAAUCAAGUUAAAUAUUAAUGAUGGUAUUAAAAGUGGUGAAUGGUACAACAUUGGUAUUUUUGGUACAUUUGUUACAAUUUUUAGGAGUAAUAUUUGUUCUAUUCAUAUUUAUUUUAGUUUUAUUUCCUUUUGAGAUGGGAUUUCAUAAAGCCCAGAUUAGUAUUGAGGUCACUUUGUAGGCAGCAAUAACCUUGAACUUCUGGUCCUCUUCCUGCCUUCAUCAUGUGAGUGCUUUGAUUAUGUGUGGAUGCAGAUGCACACAGAGAUUCAUGGUGGGGCUUGAACCCAGGGCUUCAUGAGUGUUGGAAAAUCACUCUCCUAACUGAGCUAUAUCACCAACUCAGUUUUGCUUUUGUUCUAAAAUGUGGCUUCUAAUAUCUACUUAUAAGUAAACACAUGCCAUGCUUUUCUUUCUGUGUCUAGGUUACCUAAUUCAGGAUGAUUUUUUUUCCAGUUCCAUCCAUUUGUCUGUAAAUUCCAUGAUGCAGUUUUUAAAAAACAGCUGAGUAAUACUCUGUUGUGUAACUGUACCACAUUUUAAAAUUCUUUCCUCAUAUAUUACAUCUUAACCAGUUUUCCCUCCCUCUCCUUCCUCUGGUUUUUUCAGCCAUCUCCCCUCUCUCCCAGAUACACCUCCCCUCCAGAGGGAAACCAACCAAACAUGGUAUAAUAAGCUACAAUAAAAACAGGCAUGUACUGUCACAUCAAGGCUGGACAAUGCAACCCAGUGGGAGGAAGAGGGUUUCACAAGUAGGAAAACGAGUCCAAGACAACACCUACUCCCACUGUUAGGAUUCCCACAUGAACACCAAGCUACACACCCAUAACAUAUAUGCAGAGCAUUUAGGUCAUAUCCCUAUAGGUUCUUUGAUCUCUGACUCCCUAUGAGUAUCAAUCAGUUGAAUUUGUAGGCAUGUUCUUGUGGUGUGUCCCUGACUCCUCUGGUUCCUCUGAUCCUUCCUUCCCCUCCCCACAGGAUUCCCUGUGCUCCACCUAAUGUCUGAGUGCAUACCACAUUUUUUUACUCCAUUCUUCUGUUGAAGGACAUCUAGUUUUUUUUGGGUUUUUUUUUUUUUUUCAGUUUUGGGCUGUUAUGAAUCAAGCAGCAAUGAACAUGGCCGAGCCAGUGUCCCGGUAGGAUGAAUCCUCCUUUGGCUAUAUUCAGGAGUGGUAUUUCUGGGUAUUGAGGUAGAUCAAUUCCCAGUUUUCUGAUAAACUGCCAUAUUGAUUCCCAAAGUGGCUAUACAAGUUUGUACUCCCACCAGCAAUGGAGGAGUGUUCCCCUUGCUCCACAUCCCUGCCAGCGUGAUCUGUCACUUGUGUUCUCUAUCUUAGCCAUUCUCACAAGUAUAAGAUGGAAUUUUAAAGUCCUUUCAUUUGUAUUUUUCUGAUGGCUAAGAAGUUUGAACAUUUCUUUAAGUGCCUCUUGGCCAUUAGAGAUUCCUCUGUUGAGAAUUCUCUGUUUAGAUCUGUACCCUAUCCUUUUAAUUGGAUUAUUUAGUUUAUGUCUUGUUUCUUGAGUGCUUUAUAUAUUUUGAAUAUUAGUCCUCUGUCAGAUGUGGAGCUUGUGAAAAAUCUUUUCCCAUUCUGUCAGCUACCAUUUUGUCCUAUUGAUGGUGUCAUUUGCCUUACAGAAGCUUUUCAGUUUUAUGAGGUUGUAUUUAUUAAUUGUUAAUAUUAGUGCCUGCAUUAUUGAUGUUCUUUUCAGAAAAUUGUCUCUUAUGCCAAUGCAUUCAAAGCUAUUUCUCACUUUCUCUUCUAUUAGGUUCAGUGUAUCUGGAUUUAUGUUGAGGUCUUUGAUCCAAUUACAUGAGUUUUAUGCAGAAUUUUAGAUUAAAAAAAUCAAUGAAAUGAUUCCUAAUGAUAUUCUGCUGUACAUGUAGACCAGAGCCUAGCAUAAUCAUCACCAGAGAGGUUUUCUUCCAGCAACUGAUAGGAGCAGAUACAGAGACCCACAGCCAAGCAUUAGGGUGGAGCCUUCGAAAUUCCAAGGAAGAGGAGGAGGAAGAAGAAGAGGAGUUGGAGGAGGAAGAGGAGGAAGAAGAGGAGGAAGAGGAGAAGCCUGAGAGGACAAGGACACAAUAAGAACAUGGCCCACAGAGUCAAAUAAUUAGGGCUCACAGGGGCUUACAAAGACUGGAGUGACAAUUAGGGAGCUUAUAUGGGUCUGACUGAGGUCCUUUGCAUGCAUGUUGUGUAGCUUGGUAUCCUUGUAGGACUACUAACAGUGGGAGUGGGGGCUGUCUCUGAGUCUUUUGCCUAAUAUUGGGAGCUAUUCCCUCAUUGCGGAUUGGAUAAUGCAUUCUUUAUAUAAGGAUAUGUGCCUAGCCUUAUUGUAACUUGUUAUGUCAUGUUUGGUUGAUAUCCCUGGGAGGCCUGCUCUGUUUUGAAGGAAACAAAGUAAGAGUGAAUCUGGGAAAGAAGGGAAGUCUGGGAGAGGGCCAGAAGGAGAGAAGGGAGGGGAAACUGUACUGUGGAUAUAAUAUAUGAGAGAUAAAUAAAUAAAUAUGGCUUCUAGAUAGUUUAAAAUGAUACAUGGGGCUACAUUCCAUUUCAAUUGGCCAGUACUCCUCUCUAUACUAAGCCUUUAUGGUUUUUUAUGUGGAAGCUGUCACUGUGUCCCAGAAGCCUCAUAGAUACCAUUGUGGAUGAGGACACAGAGGGAUUAUGGUGAGCAGGUGAAAGGAUAGGGUGCUCUGAAUCCACUGUGAGGACGGAUCCCCCACGACUCAGAUGGAGUCUCCACAGAGUCUGUUAGGUGUGCAUACACACACAGCCAUCCAGCUUCAUCGCAACCAGCUGACCCAGAAUGGUUAAAGGUAGUCCAGAGGUGAUGUGUCCAGAGGUGAUGUAGUAGGCUACCAAUUUAUAGCGAAGUAAAGAAUGGAUGGGAAGAACCCACUCCUCCCAUUUGGGUUAGAAAAUCCUCUGUUGUAGUAGAUAUCCAGUGUUUCAUGAGUUAUUCAGCAUUGUCCACAAAGUCUAGAUAUCAGUGAAAAACACCACUAUAUAACCUACCAAUGACCCAGGAUAAGAGAAUAUGAACAUUGUAUGUCAAUACAUUUGAUGCAAAUAUAGAAGAUCAACAAAAGACCAGACAUCAAAAUUAACCAAAGAGGAAACAGAAACUUUGACUCCACUGGUGUCAAUAAAAUAAAUUGUAUAAAAGUAUGUUCAAGUUAUUGAAAAUGAAACAUAAGUUUUAUACAUGGACUUGAUUCUUACUCCUGAGAUACUUCAUGCUAGAUCUGCAAGCUUUAUAGUUGGAAAACAAAUUCCAAAGAUGAAAGCAGUCUGGUCCCUCUCAAGUCUUUCAUACCAUUUGCAUACAGAUGUAAUUUCUGUGAUUCAUGUACUGAUAGCUCAUCCAUGACAUAUAUUUAAAUUAUAAAAAAAUACAUUCUAUAAAGCACUUGCAUACAUACUAUGAAAACAUAUUUUAAUAUAUUUACAGUGUUGUAAUACGUUAUAUGAAAAUGCUGUUUAUAAGUGGAGAUGCCUGGUUUUUAAAGCACUAAGGUAUAGUAAUAGAUAAUAAAGUUUGCUUUCAGAUGUAAACCUUUGUUUGAGAAUGUAGAAUAUAUCUUACAACUGGCCAUAAUCACAAAUAUCAAUUUUGACAUUAGGAAAACUCAAAAUUGCUAGUAAAAAAUAAAGAAAGAAAGAAACUUAUGGUUGAUGGAACAUCACACAUUCAGGCUUCCACUGUAAUUUGUUCCACAGGCCAAAGCCAAUAUUGUCAAAACCCUGCAGGCAAUACUACAGAUUCUAAAGAUUUGGUGUCGUUAUAUCCUCCAUAGUAUUAGAUGGACUGCAAACAGAAAAAUGUUCUUCACUCAAUUUCUCUCUCUCUUUUUUCUUUUCUUUUUUCCUCUUCUUUCUUUCUCUCUCUCUCUCUUUCUCUCUUUCUUUCUUUCUUUCUUUCUUUCUUUCUUUCUUUCUUUCUUUCCUUCCUUCCUUCCUUCCUUCCUUCCUUCUCUUUUCUUUUCUUUUCUUUUCUUUUCUUUUCUUUUCUUUUCUUUUCUUUCUUUUCUUUACUUUUAUUUUCUUUGGAUGAGAAAGUAACAGCUUUAUGUAAGAAAUUAUUACCCUGAUAAUUGCAGUAUAAAUUUUCUUUAGCACUGAACACUGGAACAAAGUGGUCACCAGUGGGUCCAGACAGAGAGCUGAUAUGUGUUGUGCACCAGUUUUUUUUUUUGUACAGCAUAAAAAGGUGGUACAUGUUAGUAAGUUACCUCCUUAGUGAAACAUGCGUUCUAUGUUCACUAAUAACUAUUAAUCCCAUAUGACAGUUGCCAGUGAGUCAUACACACACAUACACACACACACAUUGUAAUAUAUUACACAUUUUUGUAAUCACACAGACUUUGUGUUUUCUCUGCCCUGAUUGUGGCAUAGACUGAUAGCUCUAAAAGUGCAUGCCAAAUUGUCAAAGGCUGUCAGACUGUAACACGGUGUUCGAUCUGGAGCGAAGAGUGUGUCCUCAGGUUUCUGGCCUGUCUUUUAUGUCUCAGAAGCACAAAUUGUUAAACAAUCUGGGGAAAUUGAAAGCAGCAAAUGUGCAAUAAAAUACCCUAUGUAGUUCAAGGCUACCAAACAAAGAAGGCCAAGAAGCUCCACUGUACUCUGGCAUUCCAGGGUGGUUUACCUGAAGAAAGUCCACUCACCAGACACUUAAAGAAAAACAGAUGCAAUUUCACAAAUAAACUUCUGGAAGUGCAUUUAACGCCACUUUUUCUGUAUUUCUGCUAAAGCUCAAUGCUUUCUUAAAUAUUCUGUCGUAAAAACUAAACGAGACAAGAGCGAUCUUUGUGUUCCUCUCCUCCCAAGGCUUUCAGCAUGGCCUUUAAAUGACCUCCCUCUUGGAGAGCACUUUAAUUAAGGACUGUAUUGUGAGAGGUCAUAACGUAAACCUAAGAUCUCCCUGUGAUAAGCAUGCUUUGUUUAUGACUCUCCCUCAGCCCUGUGCCGUAUCCUGUUGGGACAGUCACCGCUUCUUCCUUGCUUCUGCAUGUGCCAGAAAACUCCCGGGAGCUCAAGAUGUCUGUCCAACUGAGGCUUGGUCUUUGUGCUUCUGGGAGUGGCUCCCAGGGCCUCAGGCAUUCAGGGUAAUCCUUGUACCCUAGAGUUGCAAUCUAACUAUCUCUUUUUCCUGAUAAAGUUCUUUCUCCCUUAAGAACUCUCCUCUGGUCACUGCAUGGGUCCUGGUGAACUUAUUGUUUUUAAAAUGUCAUAUUUACUUAGAUCAAACAAAAAGCCACUAUAUUGAAAAUGAGAUAGUUAACUGCUUUUUGUUUUUUUGUUUUUCUUUUUGUUUUUUUUUUUUUUAAAGAGAAUUCCUAUCUUUUCCUGCCAAGAGCACUAUAUGUAUUUUAGUCACAUCAGGAAGUGGAGAUGAAUUUGACACCUUCUAUUUUAUCUAAGAAAGCAUUUUACUGUGGUUUUGCCUUGUAACAAAGGUAAAAGGGAUAAAAACACCUUAACUCUUCAGGGUCAGAAUUAAUUUACAUUGAUAUGUUUUAGAAUUGUCUUCAUCUUCUCAUGCUCAAAUAUAGCCCUUAAUCAAAGAACUGUAAGGCAGGCGUCUGUAGCAAGGUAAAGGGAUGGAGCUCAAAAUUCGGAAGGCAUUAUAAAGAAGCCAGCUUACCAAAGGCUGAAUCUAGAUGCUGCAAGGCAUGCUCAUGUGUCAAAACAAUCCAGCACGGGGCUCUGCCAUUUAAGCUAGGUGAAGAGGUGGUUGAACUAUGGACUCUUGAAAAAUAUGCCUAAGAUCAGACACUGGCAGCAAACUCUUUUCCUCAGGCUCCUAUACCAAGUUCCACCAAAUUAAGCCAUUUGAAUUUAACAGAAAUAUAGUUUGAGCAAUUUGGAAGCCGGAAUCAAAGACUGGACAGGUUUGUCUCUUUGGGAGCCAGUGAAAGAGAAAUGAUCAUAUCUUUCCUCUGGUUCCCUAGUGUGUGUCAGCCGUUGUGAUGUCCUUCAGCUCAGAGUCAUAGCACUCCAGUUUCUGCCUCCACCUUUACGUGGCAUCUGCCUCAUGGUGUAUCCUUUUCUGAUUCUUACAAAGAAACAUGUCACUGCACUUAGUGACCUCCACAAUCCAGGGUCAUCAAUACAUACCUAGAUAAAGACUCUAUUUCAAACAGUAUCCCAUCCUAAGGUUUUGGGUGGACAAUUAUUUCACUGGACCAGUAUUGAUUCCACUGCAUCAUAACAGGAAGUGACUGAUGCUACAGAAGAGCGUAUGCACAUAAGACAUGGCCUCACCCAAGGUGUCAGGCUCCAGCAGCAGUGAGAAGGGCUGAUGAAGGAUUGGUCAAUGAGGGUAGAGUGCUCACAUAGUUCAGUGUCCCAAGGAAGCUAAGUUCUUGCUGCCAGGGUAGGAAGUUAGCAUUUGGUACCUAGAUGGAAAGGGUAGGAGGGUUCCCAGAUACCACCUUAGAGAUACUGAGAGGUGACUUUAUAGUAUGGUAACAAAAAUGUAAAUGUGAAUGUGUAUUACCUAGCCUUGACCUGUCGUGACCUGGCCACAAGGCCAUGCAACAACAAUAAGCACACUCAGCUUCCACAUCUUUGUAGCUCAGCUACUUGAAAAAUGGCUGGAGGGCAGCAACCAAAGUAUAAUGGAGACUUUGGUUUGUUUAGACCUUUUGUCUAUGAGGUGGACCCACUCAUAUUCAGGAAAACCAUGUGCUCAAAAUAAUCCUCCUUUCCCCUUCACCAGAACCCCGUCAUAGAUACAAAUAGAAGUGUACUUUACUAAUCUCUUAAUUGCCUCUAAGGCCAAUCAGGUUGACAAGGUUAGUCAUGGAUGGGGAAAGUAUUAUCAGAGAAGCAACUCAGAACUAAGAGUCUAACAGAUAGAAAAAAAAGAAUAAAAAGGAAUCUAGCAAGGCAGGGAUGUGAACGUUGGUGUGUGAUUCUGAACUGGAUCCAGAAUUUUGACCAGUGAAUGUGGUAUGAAAAUAGGAGUUCCUUUGCUUAGGGAAUGCCUGGAGUAGAGAUACCCAUUGCUUUUAGUUGUGGUAGUGGUGGAGGAGGAGGAAGAGAAGGGUGAGGAGGGUGAGGAGACAUCUAUGACAAGAAUGAAAAUGGAAGGAUGGCUGAAGAAACCUUGAAAUAUCUACAUAGCUUCUGUGCACUAAAUAUUUUAGAUUCCUGGAAUAGAAAUUGCCUGAUUUCAUAUGCAGAAACCACUUGUCUAAUCAUGUUAUUUAAAUUUAUUUAUUUAUAGCAGGGUGGUGGUGGCGCACACCUUUAAUCCCAGCACUUGGGAGGCAGAGGCACGCAGAUUUCUGAGUGCGAGGCCAGCCUGGUCUACAAACCUUUAGAGAACCUGAAAUGUACUUUGUCAGGAAACCCAACACUGGAGACCCAGAAAUCAUGAAAUUAAAAUGUUUUCAUGAAAGUGAAUAAUACAGACUCCUUCCAACAACUAAAGAAGAUGGAUGAGUGUGAGAAGUCAGGACUGCAUUACCCCAACAUGGGAGAGUUGGGAGCUAUUCAUUGAGCUUAAGAACUAGAGGAGACCAUGGAAAGCAUGCCAAGACCUUUUUAUGAUGCCAGUUUGGAAGGCUGAACCAUCAUACUAUUCUUCAAGGGAAUAAUAACUCCAGCUUAAUAUCUGUAUAUCUCUGUAGGCAGGUUCAUGAAAUUCAGUUCCCAUUAGAGCAUUCAGGGAAGUCCUCUGGGUCUCCUCACAUAUUCACACUGCAAGGCAGUUACAGGAAUCAGGCCCAUGCAUCCACAGGUCAUCAUUUCAGCCACGCCAACUAAAUGCAGCAUGCAGCACAGCGACAUCAGAGAUGUACCUAGAAAAGUAGUUCCCAGGAGAGGUAUUGCGGGAUCCUCCAGUAGAACUACGUCCAAUACCUCUCCUGGGCAUAUAUCCAGAAGAUGUUCCAACUGGUAAGAAAGACACAUGCUCCACUAUGUUCAUAGCAGCCUUAUUUAUAAUAGCCAGAAGCUGGAAAGAACCCAGAUGCCCCUCAACAGAGGAAUGGAUACAGAAAAUGUGGUACAUUUACACAAUGGAGUACUACUCAGCUAUUAAAAAGAAUGAAUUUGUGAAAUUCCUAGGCAAAUGGAUUAACCUGGAGGGCAUCAUCCUGACUGAGGUAACCCAAUCACAAAAGAACUCACAUGACAUGUACUCACUGAUAAGUGGAUAUUAGCCCAGAAACUUAGAAUACCCAAGAUACAAGAUACAAGAUACAAAGCACAUGAAACGCAAGAAGAACGAAGAGCAAAGUGUGGGCAGUUUGCUCCUUCUUAGAAUUGGGAACAAAACACCCAUGGAAGGAGUUACAGAGACAAAGUUUGGAGCUGAGACUCCAAACGCAGACACCAUUGCACACACUAGCAAGAUUUUGCUGAAAGGACCCUGAUAUAGCUGUCUCUUGUGAGACUAUGCCGGGGCCUAGCAAACACAGAAGUGGAUGCUCACCUUCAGCUAUUGGAUGGAUCACAGAGCCCCCAAUGGAGGAGCUAGAGAAAGUACCCAAGGAGCUGAAAAGGUCUGCAACCCUAUAGGUGGAACAACAAUAUGAACUAACCAGUACCCCCUAGAGCUCUCUAGCUGCAUAUGUAGCAGAAGAUGGCCUAGUCAGCCGUCAGUGGAAAGAGAGGCCCAUUGGUCUUGCAAACUUUAUAUGCCCCAGUACAGGGGAACGCCAGGGCCAAGAAGUGGGAGUGGGUGGGUAGGGGAGUGGAGGGGGAGGGUAUGGGGGACUUUUGGGAUAGCAUUGGAAAUGUAAAUGAGGAAAAUACCUAAUAAAAAUAUUUAAAAAAGAAAAGAAAA